rnacentral:rRNA from 1 species
UACGUAGGGUGCAAGCGUUGUCCGGAAUUAUUGGGCGUAAAGAGCUCGUAGGCGGUCUGUCGCGUCUGCUGUGAAAACUCGGGGCUUAACCCCGAGCCUGCAGUGGGUACGGGCAGACUAGAGUGCGGUAGGGGAGACUGGAAUUCCUGGUGUAGCGGUGGAAUGCGCAGAUAUCAGGAGGAACACCGAUGGCGAAGGCAGGUCACUGGGCCGCAACUGACGCUGAGGAGCGAAAGCAUGGGGAGCGAAAAGG